rnacentral:rRNA from 1 species
AUUGAACGCUGGCGGCAUGCCUUACACAUGCAAGUCGAACGGCAGCACGGGAGCAAUCCUGGUGGCGAGUGGCGAACGGGUGAGUAAUAUAUCGGAACGUGCCCAGUAGUGGGGGAUAACUGCUCGAAAGAGCAGCUAAUACCGCAUACGACCUGAGGGGGAAAGGGGGGGAUCGCAAGACCUCUCGCUAUUGGAGCGGCCGAUAUCAGAUUAGCUAGUUGGUGGGGUAAAGGCCUACCAAGGCAACGAUCUGUAGUUGGUCUGAGAGGACGCCCAGCCACACUGGGACUGAGACACGGCCCAGACUCCUACGGGAGGCAGCAGUGGGGAAUUUUGGACAAUGGGCGCAAGCCUGAUCCAGCAAUGCCGCGUGCAGGAAGAAGGCCUUCGGGUUGUAAACUGCUUUUGUCAGGGAAGAAAUCCUCUAGGUUAAUACCCUUGGGGGGAUGACGGUACCUGAAGAAUAAGCACCGGCUAACUACGUGCCAGCCGCCGCCGUAACAC